CUAGGUGUGGGUCCAUUCCACGGGGUCCGUGCCGCAGCUAACGCAUUAAGCGCCCCGCCUGGGGAGUACGGCCGCAAGGCUAAAACUCAAAGGAAUUGACGGGGGCCCGCACAAGCGGCGGAGCAUGCGGAUUAAUUCGAUGCAACGCGAAGAACCUUACCAAGGCUUGACAUGUACCGGAAACUCCCAGAGAUGGGGGCCCCGCAAGGUCGGUACACAGGUGGUGCAUGGUUGUCGUCAGCUCGUGUCGUGAGAUGUUGGGUUAAGUCCCGCAACGAGCGCAACCCUCGUUCUAUGUUGCCAGCACGUGAUGGUGGGGACUCAUAGGAGACUGCCGGGGUCAACUCGGAGGAAGGUGGGGAUGACGUCAAAUCAUCAUGCCCCUUACGUCUUGGGCUUCACGCAUGCUACAAUGGCCGGUACAGAGGGCUGCGAUACCGCGAGGUGGAGCGAAUCCCUUAAAGCCGGUCUCAGUUCGGAUUGGGGUCUGCAACUCGACCCCAUGAAGUCGGAGUCGCUAGUAAUCGCAGAUCAGCAACGCUGCGGUGAAUACGUUCCCGGGCCUUGUACACACCGCCCGUCAAGUCACGAAAGUCGGUAACACCCGAAGCCGGUGGCCCAACCCCUUGUGGGAGGGAGCUGUCGAAGGUGGGGCUG
rnacentral:rRNA from 1 species